rnacentral:rRNA from 1 species
CAAUAGCGUAUAUUAAAGUUGUUGCAGUUAAAAAGCUCGUAGUUGGAUUUCUGGUUGAAGCGACCGGUCGGGCGUUGAUUCGUCUGCACUGGAGUCGGUUUUGGUCAUCCUCUAGGAAAGUGCGUCUGGUAUUAAGUUAUCGGGCGUAUGAUCCUGGUCUUUUACUGUGAAAAAAUUAGAGUGUUUAAAGCAGGCCUUCGCCUUGAAUACAUUAGCAUGGAAUAAUAAGAUAGGACUUUGGUCUAUUUUGUUGGUUUGCAGACCGAAGUAAUGAUUAAUAGGGAUAGUUGGGGGUAUUUAUAUUCCGAUGUCAGAGGUGAAAUUCUUAGAUUUUCGGAAGAUAAACUUAUGCGAAAGCAUUUACCAAGGAUGUUUUCAUUAA